rnacentral:rRNA from 1 species
CCUACGGGUGGCAGCAGUGGGGAAUAUUGCACAAUGGGGGAAACCCUGAUGCAGCGACGCCGCGUGAGUGAAGAAGUAUUUCGGUAUGUAAAGCUCUAUCAGCAGGGAAGAAGAAAGACGGUACCUGACUAAGAAGCCUCGGCUAACUACGUGCCAGCAGCCGCGGUAAUACGAAGGGGGCAAGCGUUAUCCGGAUUUACUGGGUGUAAAGGGAGCGUAGACGGCUGUGGAAGUCUGAAGUGAAAGUCAAGGGCUCAACCCUGGGACUGCUUUGGAAACUGUGGAGCUAGAGUGCUGGAGAGGUAAGUGGAAUUCCUGGUGUAGCGGUGAAAUGCGUAGAGAUUAGGCGGAACACCAGUGGCGAAGGCGGCUUACUGAGCAGUAACUGACGCUGAGGCUCGAAAGCGUGGGGAGCAAACAGGAUUAGAUACCCGUGUAGUC